UGCAAGUCGAACGGGAUCCGGAAGGUAGCAAUAUCGCCGGUGAGAGUGGCGGAAGGGCGAGGAACGCGUGGACAACCUGUCCAUGGGACGGGGAAAACUCCGGGAAACUGGAGCUAAUACCCGAUACGUCGCGGAGCGGCAUCGCUUCAGCGGCAAAGGGGGCGCCGCAAGGGCUCCCGCCCAACGAGGGGUCCGCGUAUCAUCAGCUUGUUGGCGGGUAACGGCCACCAAGGCUUACGAUUAGCUGGUCUGAGAGGAUGGCCAGCCGCACUGGGACUGAGAUACUGCCCAGACUCCUACGGGAGGCUGCAGUCGAGGAUCAUUCGCAAUGGGGGAAACCCUGACGAUGCGACGCUGCGUGGAGGAUUGAAGGCCUUCGGGUUGUAAACUCCUGUCAUGAGGGAAAAGGCGAGAGUACCCAACACGUACUUUAGUUGAUGGUACCUCAAGAGGAAGCGACGGCUAACUCUGUGCCAGCAGCUGC
rnacentral:rRNA from 1 species